rnacentral:rRNA from 1 species
GCUAAACGCGAAGAACCUUACCUGGCCUUGACAUCCAUGGAAUCCCGAAGAGAUUCGGGAGUGCCGCAAGGAACCAUGAGACAGGUGCUGCAUGGCUGUCGUCAGCUCGUGUCGUGAGAUGUUGGGUUAAGUCCCGCAACGAGCGCAACCCUUGUCCUUAGUUGCCAUCAUUAAGUUGGGAACUCUAAGGAGACCGCCGGUGACAAACCGGAGGAAGGUGGGGAUGACGUCAAGUCAUCAUGGCCUUUAUGGCCAGGGCUACACACGUGCUACAAUGGCAGGUACAGAGGGAAGCCAACCGGCGACGGGGAGCUAAUCCCAGAAACCUUCUCUCAGUCUGGAUCGGAGUCUGCAACUCGACUCCGUGAAGUCGGAAUCGCUAGUAAUCGCAGAUCAGCAUUGCUGCGGUGAAUACGUUCCCGGGUUUUGUACACACCG